UGAAGCCCGUUUCCCUUCGGGGCCGGAUCACAGGUGCUGCACGGCUGUCGUCAGCUCGUGCCGUGAGGUGUUGGGUUAAGUCCCGCAACGAGCGCAACCCUCGUCGUUAGUUGUAUUUCUCUAGCGAGACCGCUGCGUACAACGCAGAGGAAGGUGGGGACGAUGUCAAGUCAGCGUGGCCCUUACGCCCAGGGCGACACACACGCUACAAUGGCCGGUACAACGGGCAGCCACUGCGCGAGCAGGAGCGAAUCCCUCAAAACCGGCCCCAGUUCGGAUAGCAGGCUGAAACUCGCCUGCUUGAAGCCGGAGUUGCUAGUAACCGCAGGUCAGCCACACUGCGGUGAAUA
rnacentral:rRNA from 1 species